GCUAUAUAUUCCAAAAUUCGAAUUUUAAAUUUGUUCGAAAUAUAGAACAUCGUAGAAAUUGAACGAAUUUCCAAAAACGAUCGCCAGAAUCGAAAUAACUUUUUUUCACAAAAAGAUGGAAUUCUUACAAAAUAUGGAUAGACAAAGAAGUGAAAAUCGACUUAAUAGAGAAAGAGUAGAUUCACAAAGAGAAAGAAUAAACGCAUGAAGAGAAAGAGCCAACGCACAAGAA